rnacentral:misc_RNA from 1 species
CACAAUCAUAAUAAAGUAAUUCGUCCUGUAAUAGUAGAGAUUACACUUGAGUCGACUGUUCCAUUUGGAAUAAGAUCGGGGGAAAGUGAAGCGAGAGAAGAAUUCAGAGAAGGGACGUGGUGGAGAUGACCACUCGACUUCGCGUAAAGCCUCAAUUAGAUCCUCUGUGGUUACAGUUCCCCAAUCCAUUGUUGAAGAAUAGGCGAAACCCUAGAAUUCACCGGACACAAAGCAAGGGGAAAAAGCGACUGAAGUCUUUAAGGGUUCAGCUCUGCGG